rnacentral:rRNA from 1 species
UACGAAGGGUGCAAGCGUUACUCGGAAUUACUGGGCGUAAAGCGUGCGUAGGUGGUUUGUUAAGUCUGCUGUGAAAGCCCCGGGCUCAACCUGGGAAUGGCAGUGGAUACUGGCAAGCUAGAGUGCGGUAGAGGGGUGUGGAAUUCCCGGUGUAGCGGUGAAAUGCGUAGAGAUCGGGAGGAACACCAGUGGCGAAGGCGGCACCCUGGACCAGCACUGACACUGAGGCACGAAAGCGUGAGGAGCAAACAGG